AAAUCAUUAUCAGAAUUGUAUAUAACGAUAAAUUGUUCUUCUUUUUACAUGAUUUUGAUGAAGUUAUUAUUUGUUAUUUCGCCUUAUUUGUCAUGUGUCUUUUAGAGAGGAGAGAAGGGAGGAAGCAGCGUCCCCUGUAAACUCUCAUUUAAAAAAAGAUAAGUAUAAAUUUUAUUCGUUGUUAUUAUCAGAAUUCCUUUACAGAUAAAUAGUUCCUCUUGGGCUUAAGUUGUUUAUUAACUAUUACUUUCACUGUCUCCCAUUUGUCUCUUAGAGUAAAGAGAUGAGAUGACACGAGGACAAACAAGACAAAGACCAGAGGAGACAAGCAGAGGAGAUGCCAUGCACUGUGAACCCCUUCAUUAAAAAAGAUAAAGAGGAGAGAAGGGAGGAGGCAGCGUGCCCUGUAAACUCUCAUUUAAAAAAAGAUAAGUAUAAAUUUUAUUCGUUGUUAUUAUCAGAAUUCCUUUACAGAUAAAUAGUUCCUCUUGGGCUUAAGUUGUUUAUUAACUAUUACUUUCACUGUCUCCCAUUUGUCUCUUAGAGUAAAGAAAUGAGAUGACACGAGGACAAACAAGACAAAGACCAGAGGAGACAAGCAGAGGAGAUGCCAUGCACUGUGAACCCCUUCAUUAAAAGAAAUAAAGAGGAGAGAAGGGAGGAGGCAGCAUGCCCUGUAAACUCUCAUUUAAAAAAAGCUAAGUAUACAUUUAUUCUUUGUUAUUAUCAGAAUUUCUGUACAGAUAAAUAGUUCCUCUGGUGCUGCAGUUGUUUAUUAACUAUUGCCUUCUUAAUACUAUUAACUUCCUCCUGCCCCUUGUCUCGACUAGACAAAGUUUUUAAUUCAAAUAAAACCAACAAAUGAUGUUGGAAACAAUCUGUAACAUUGAAGAGAAGCAGUAAAAUUGAAGAAUAUUUAAAUCCUUUUUUAUUCUUAUUUCACUAGUA